CCAUGAAAACAAUAGCCUGUGGUGAAACAGCUUGUCAUGGAUACUAAUGAAAAAUUGCCCGAGACAUCCUGAUGGGAUUCCUCCUGCAUUCAUUCUGCCCUUAAGGUCUGGGAAUUCAGUGAACACAAAAAGAUUUCAUUAUUGCUUCCCUGAUGUAACCAGGAGGAUUUAAAUAACCGAUGGGGGUGGAUACUCCUUUCUUUCUGACCUGAACCUUAUUGCAAAACACCAAGUGGAUAAAUGUAAAUUCUAAAGUUCCCUGGUUUUCUCCAGGACACACCCAGAAAGAUUCAUCACUCUGACAAAAGUUUAAAUGCUUAUAAUCCAUUUGUAAUGGAGCAUUUGGGAUGGAAUUAUAUAUGGAGAACUAUCCAUUUUGAGGGAAGACUUAUGGAAAAAUUAUCAGUUCAAUAUUGUAAGUCCAGGGAAAAAGAAAGGAAUGAAUUGGACUCAG